UACGGGGGGAGCAAGCGUUGUUCGGAUUUACUGGGCGUAAAGGGCGCGUAGGCGGCACUGCAAGUCAGUUGUGAAAUCUCCGGGCUUAACCCGGAAAGGUCAACUGAUACUGCAGGGCUAGAGUGCAGAAGGGGCAACUGGAAUUCUCGGUGUAGCGGUGAAAUGCGUAGAUAUCGAGAGGAACACCUGCGGCGAAGGCGGGUUGCUGGGCUGACACUGACGCUGAGGCGCGAAAGCGUGGGGAGCGAACAGG
rnacentral:rRNA from 1 species